UAUCUCUUGUCUACUCCUCCUCCCUUACUUCUCUCAUUUUUCUUGCACGAGACAAUUUCUUCUACACUCAACCGCCAUUCGUUGAAUCCACUUCAUCUUCUCUUUCACAAUAUCUCUACCCACAAACUUACCCUCUUCAAUUUCCAUCUUGCUCAUUUACUCUUUGGAGGGAACUUCCAACAAAAAGGGAAAUUCCAUCUUGCUACGACAUAGGGCACAUUAUCUUUCCUAUCUUUCAUUUUCUUUCAAGGUCAAACCUUGUAUCCAUUUGUAGUCAAUACUGUUGCCUCAAAAAAAAAAAAAUACUUGUCAAUGUUAUUAAACUUCGAGAAAUCCGCAGCCAAAACAGUUAGAAAGGUGCUCAGCCGUUUUAAAGGAUCAAUCUUGCCCUUUAAUUAUGAGAUCCCCAGUCUUCCUUUCUCACACAUCCAGAGGGUUAAUUAUGUGAAUGUGUACAUGAAAUGGAAAAAAGAUUCAUACUAUGACUCGAUCGAACACAUUCACCACUCCGUUCAGCUUAAGCCUAUAAUCGCCCUAAAAAACUGCAUUGUCCAGGAUCCCAAUGGGUGCAUCCCUAUCUCCACAGUAUCAAAGAGGGGAUUACAAUUAGAUGUGCCUAUGAAGGUUGCAAGAUUUAUGAGGCAAUAUCCAUCCAUUUUUGAAGAGUUUACAGGUCCUGAGUAUAAUCAUCCUUGGUUUAGGUUGACAUCUGAAGCUGCCGAGAUUGACAGGGAUGAAAAAAGAGUAUAUGAAGAAAGUAGGGAGGAUUUGAGGUCCAGGUUGAGGAAAAUGAUAUUGAUGACCAGAGAGAAAGUUCUACCUUUGAAGAUAAUUCAAGGGAUGCAGUGGUAUUUGGGGUUGCCUAAUGAUUUUUUGCAGUACCCGGAACUAAAUCUCGACGAAUCUUUCAAAUUUGUAGAGAUGGAAGAUGGAUUGAAGGGGUUGGCUAUUGAAAACAGAGAAAGGGUUUAUUCUGUAUUGGAGAAGAAUGCCAUGAAAAGAGGUUUGUACUUCGAUGGUUCACCGACAGAGGCGAUUGAAUUUCCUUUUUUUCCAUCGAAGGCUUUAAGGAUGAAAAGUAAGAUUGAAAAUUGGCUACAUGAGUUUCAGAAGCUACCUUAUAUUUCACCAUAUGUUGGUUUCUCGAAUUUGAAUCCAGACAGUGACAUAGCAGAGAAAAGGCUUGUUGGUGUUCUUCACGAACUGCUUUCCUUAUUUGUUGAGCAUUCAGCCGAGAGAAGAAAGCUCCUUUGUCUCAAGAAGUACUUCGGUUUUCCACAGAAAGUGCACAGAGCAUUCGAGCGGCAUCCCCAUAUGUUUUACCUGUCUUUCAGGAAUAAAACGUGUACAGUCAUUCUUAAGGAAGCUUACUGCGAUGAAGCAGCUAUCGAAAAACAUCCUCUAUUGAGGGUGAGGAAGAAAUACAUUGAGUUGAUGAAAGAAUCAGAAGUGAUUUUAAGAAACAGAAGGAUGAACAAUCGAUUUUCUAAUUGUAGUUUAAAACUCAAUGUAAAUUCAAAUGAUCUGGAUGAAGAGGGGCAGGAGAUUGCAAGUCUUUCCUUGGAGCAGGUUAUCUGAAAAUAUGUUAAUUUAGAAACAAAACUUAAAGUUGCUUUAUCAAAAGGUGCACGUGAGGUUUUUACCUACAGAGAUACAACCAAAAGUAGCUGAGGAGUAGUAAGCAUUAUCAGAAAGGGCCUAUCAGCUAAUUUUUGUACAUGGGGUGCUGUGCAUCUGGUAUCUUAGCCUCUUAUCCUUGAGGUAAAAAUAAGAUGCGAGCCUUCAAAAGUUGGUUUCCUGUUGUAGUAGUACAUGUCUAAUAUCGUUUGAUGCAAUGUUCAUUUUUCGUUUUUUGAUUAAUGAUGCAGGGCACAUUGAUCCUAUCUACAACACAAAUAAAGUUCAAAGCUUGGAUGCUUUUAUUUUUAUUUUAAUUCAUGGAAUUUUACUUCACGUUGUCAAAUAUGCCACUACAUUGUAACAAAUGUUACUACCUUUGGAAUCAGACAUCAUCUACUAUUUUUUUUUAAAGAAAAUUAGUGUUUAACUACACUGAACUGAUCUGGAAAACUACCUGUUUCUCCAGUUUCUAGCCGGUUCUCUGCUUGAGCAGUUUUUUGGUUCAUGUUGACUAGACAAUAAACUGGUUUCAGGUUAGAAAUAUUAGUUAGAAAUUCGAGUUCAGGAUAUAUGUCUAAUCCUGCUCAUAGAUGCCUCAAGUAGAAGGGAGUGAUUACUAAUAUUCAUAAAGAUGAAUAAAGGAGCUAUGAUGGCUAUUGGAUUUGCCUUGCAUUAAAUUGUAAUGUAAAGAGAUCUUGUACUAAAAUUAUAAUGAAAAGAGCUCUAAUGACUACUAAAUU